rnacentral:lncRNA from 1 species
AAGAAUGUAAAAGUUGGUAGUUUAAGAAUUUUUUCAAAAAAUUAAAAGUUGUGUAAAUUUAUAAGAUUAGCUGAAAGGUCAUUUGAGUAUUUAUAAAUCGUUAGAUUUAGAUUUUUGGUAAGGCCAAUCUAAUAAGCAAGAAAAUUAUCUUGUACCAAGUUGGCACCCAACAAAUCAAGUGACUUUUGUAUGCGUAAAAUUAUAAUAUACUAGUGAAGGCUCGCGCUUCGCGGCGGGAAAUUUACCCAAUUCCUAAAAUAUUUUCAAAAUUUUAAUUUUUUUAAUUUUCAAAUCUAAUUUUAAAUUGUAAGCUUAGAGAGAAAUUAAAAAAAUUAUUUAAAUAUUAUUGCGGGUUAGGAUUUUCGGGGCCGGGUUUUGGAGUCUUGAUCGGGUUCGGAUUUGGAUAUGGAUUUGUAAAAUCCAUCGGAUUCGGAUUUAAAUUUUAAUUUAAAAUUAAAUUUUAGAUUUUAUUUAUUUAUUUAUUUUUUU